rnacentral:rRNA from 2 species
GGAAACCGAGUCUUAACCGGGCGUUAAGUUGCAGGGUAUAGACCCGAAACCCGGUGAUCUAGCCAUGGGCAGGUUGAAGGUUGGGUAACACUAACUGGAGGACCGAACCGACUAAUGUUGAAAAAUUAGCGGAUGACCUGUGGCUGGGGGUGAAAGGCCAAUCAAACCGGGAGAUAGCUGGUUCUCCCCGAAAGCUAUUUAGGUAGCGCCUCGUGAAUUCAUCUCCGGGGGUAGAGCACUGUUUCGGCUAGGGGGCCAUCCCGGCUUACCAACCCGAUGCAAACUGCGAAUACCGGAGAAUGUUAUCACGGGAGACACACGGCGGGUGCUAACGUCCGUCGUGAAGAGGGAAACAACCCAGACCGCCAGCUAAGGUCCCAAAGUCAUGGUUAAGUGGGAAACGAUGUGGGAAGGCCCAGACAGCCAGGAUGUUGGCUUAGAAGCAGCCAUCAUUUAAAGAAAGCGUAAUAGCUCACUGGUCGAGUCGGCCUGCGCGGAAGAUGUAACGGGGCUAAACCAUG